AAUCAACGCUGGCGGCGUGCCUAACACAUGCAAGUCGAACGAGAAAGUGGAGCAAUCCAUGAGUAAAGUGGCGACCGGGUGAGUAACACGUGACCAAUCUACCCUUGAGUGGGGGAUAACCUCGGGAAACCGGGGCUAAUACCGCAUAACAUCUUCGGAUCGGAAGAACUGGAGAUCAAAGGAGCAAUUCGCUUAAGGAGGAGGUCGCGGCUGAUUAGCUAGUUGGCGGGGAAUGGCCCACCAAGGCUUAGAUCGGUAGCCGGCCUGAGAGGGCGCACGGCCACACUGGAACUGAAACACGGUCCAGACUCCUACGGGAGGCAGCAGUGGGGAAUUUUGCGCAAUGGGGGAAACCCUGACGCAGCAACGCCGCGUGGAGGAUGAAGUCCCUUGGGACGUAAACUCCUUUCGACCCGGACGAUAAUGACGGUACGGGUGAAGAAGCCCCGGCUAACUUCGUGCCAGCCGCCGCCGUAAC
rnacentral:rRNA from 1 species